rnacentral:rRNA from 1 species
GACCGCAAGCCUCAUGCUAUAGACGGCGAGUUUGAUUAGCUAGUUGGUGGGUUAGUCCACAGCGACGAUCAGUAGCUGUCGAGAGGACGAUCAGCCACACUGACUGAGACACGCCCAGACUCUACGGAGCAGCAGUGGGGAUUUUGACAAUGGCGAAGCUGAUCCAGCAUGCGCGUGUGUGAAGAAGGCAUCGGGUGUAAAGCACUUUGUCCGAAAGAAAUGGCUCUGCUAAUACCUGGGUCGAUGACGGUACCGGAAGAAUAAGGACCGGCUAACUACGUGCCAGCAGCCGCGGUAAUACGUAGGGUCAAGCGUUAAUCGGAAUUACUGGGCGUAAAGCGUGCGCAGGCGGUUGUGCAAGACCGAUGUGAAAUCCCCGAGCUUAACUUGGGAAUUGCAUUGGUGACUGCACGGCUAGAGUGUGUCAGAGGGGGGUAGAAUUCCACGUGUAGCAGUGAAAUGCGUAGAGAUGUGGAGGAAUACCGAUGGCGAAGGCAGCCCCCUGGGAUAACACUGACGCUCAUGCACGAAAGCGUGGGGAGCAAACAGGAUUAGAUACCCUGGUAGUCCACGCCCUAAACGAUGUCAACUAGUUGUUGGGGAUUCAUUUCCUUAGUAACGUAGCUAACGCGUGAAGUUGACCGCCUGGGGAGUACGGUCGCAAGAUUAAAACUCAAAGGAAUUGACGGGGACCCGCACAAGCGGUGGAUGAUGUGGAUUAAUUCGAUGCAACGCGAAAAACCUUACCUACCCUUGACAUGCCACUAACGAAGCAGAGAUGCAUUAGGUGCUCGAAAGAGAAAGUGGACACAGGUGCUGCAUGGCUGUCGUCAGCUCGUGUCGUGAGAUGUUGGGUUAAGUCCCGCAACGAGCGCAACCCUUGUCUCUAGUUGCUACGAAAGGGCACUCUAGAGAGACUGCCGGUGACAAACCGGAGGAAGGUGGGGAUGACGUCAAGUCCUCAUGGCCCUUAUGGGUAGGGCUUCACACGUCAUACAAUGGUGCAUACAGAGGGUUGCCAAGCCGCGAGGUGGAGCUAAUCCCAGAAAAUGCAUCGUAGUCCGGAUCGUAGUCUGCAACUCGACUACGUGAAGCUGGAAUCGCUAGUAAUCGCGGAUCAGCAUGCCGUCGGGAAACGGCC